CCUACGGGAGGCAGCAGUGAGGAAUAUUGGUCAAUGGCCGGAAGGCUGAACCAGCCAUGCCGCGUGAAGGUCAGUGCCCUAUGGGCGUUAAACUUCUUUUGUGCGGGAGCAAUAAUGGUCACGUGUGGCCAGACGAGAGUACCGUACGAAUAAGCAUCGGCUAACUCCGUGCCAGCAGCCGCGGUAAUACGGGGGAUGCCAGCGUUAUCCGGCUUUAUUGGGGUUAAAGGGUGCGUAGGGUGGGAGGUAAGUCAGCGGUGAAAUGCCCCCGCUCAACGGGGUGAAGUGCCAUGGAUACUGCCUUGCUGGAAUGCGGAUGCCGUAGGAGGAAUGUGUGGUGUAGCGGUGAAAUGCAUAGAUAUCACACAGAACACCGAUUGCGAAGGCAUCUCACGAAUCCGCGAUUGACGCUGAUGCACGAAAGCGUGGGUAUCAAACAGGAUUAGAUACCCCAGUAGUC
rnacentral:rRNA from 1 species